rnacentral:sRNA from 1 species
AUUAAUAGGAAGUCGACGGGAGUCUGCAAGGGUUCCUAUCAUCCGACGACUAACGGUAUCCCAUGAUGCACUAAACUUACAGACAAAUUAGGCGCUUCCUGUACGAUUCCUAUAUCCAUGGCGAUGCUGUCGCGGAGUUCCCUGAAGAUGUCGUACUCUUUCUUCUCCACACUGGAGCCAAUCAUCUUACAGAACUCCAGGGACAGGUCCUGUUUGGGGAGCUGCCUGAUGAUCUGGACGUCCCGGUACCUCUCCCCCGGGCGGCCAAUCUGAGGGAUCUUGUGGUUCGGAAGCUGUUCCAUGUACUCCUCAAUCUUUAGUAAAAAAAAUAGGAAGACAGAGGAAUUAAUGAACAGGUUUAUGCAGAUUGGAAUUCAUAUAUAUAGUGAAAAUAGUUUAAUACAUACAUUAGAUAUCUGCCUAGUUUUCACCACAGUCAUAUAUAUAGACCCCUUCACUGUAACUGCGGUACUGCUCUUUUGCAGGGCAAAAUGACUUGGUUUGGUGAAAUAUGACACAAUGUCAAUUGUUUCAUUUAUCGUAGGUUAGUUAAAGUACCAGUAUAUUAAUUUGCCUUGCAAGAGAGCAGUACCACAGUUAUCAUGAAGGGAUAUAAUUUUGCAAUUUUUUAAGCUCAUGUUUUUAAUAACAAAAAUAUAAAAAUAAAAUGCCAUGAAAUUAU